GACGAACGCUGGCGGCGUGCUUAACACAUGCAAGUCGAACGGAAAGGCCCUGCUUUUGUGGGGUGGUCGAGUGGCGAACGGGUGAGUAACACGUGAGUAACCUGCCCUUGACUUUGGGAUAACGUCAUGACACUGGGGCUAAUACCGGGUAGGAGCUCCUGCUGCAUGGUGGGGGCUGGAAAGUUUCGGCGGUUGGGGAUGGACUCGCGGCGUAUCAGCUUGUUGGUGGGGUAGUGGCUUAGCAAGGCAUUGACGGGUAGCAGGCCUGAGAGGGUGACCGGACCAACCAGGACGGAGAUGAGGCACAGACUCGACCCGGACGGAGGGGAGCGGUAGAGAACCCUAGACAAGGGAGCCAGAUCCAGUCUAGCCGCGUGGGGUAUGUCAGGCAUCCGGUAGUAUUGCAAAUCCGUCUGUGACGAAGAGUGAGUGACGGUAAUGGGUAAAGAAGCACCGGCUAACUACGUG
rnacentral:rRNA from 1 species